CCUAUCUUGGUUGUUUAAAUAGAAAGCAUUUGUUUUCAUAAUUCUGAUCAUUCCUGAUCAAGGUGCUAAAGGCGUGUUUCUGGGUUUGCAGGCGGCUGUGAUUGUGUCUGCAAAUGGAAGAGAGGAGAGGAAGAAAAAGCUAGCCCUCCCUGGUCUCUUCACAUCAGGCAGGCUGGUACCCGUUUCAUCUUAGCUGUGGGUAUAGC
rnacentral:lncRNA from 1 species